rnacentral:rRNA from 1 species
AACGAACGCUGGCGGCAGGCUUAACACAUGCAAGUCGAACGUCCCGCAAGGGGAGUGGCAGACGGGUGAGUAGCGCGUGGGAAUCUACCCAGAUCUACGGAACAACAGUUGGAAACGACUGCUAAUACCGUAUACGCCCUACGGGGGAAAGAUUUAUCGGAUUUGGAUGAGCCCGCGUUGGAUUAGCUAGUUGGUGGGGUAAUGGCCUACCAAGGCGACGAUCCAUAGCUGGUCUGAGAGGAUGAUCAGCCACACUGGGACUGAGACACGGCCCAGACUCCUACGGGAGGCAGCAGUGGGGAAUAUUGGACAAUGGGCGCAAGCCUGAUCCAGCCAUGCCGCGUGAGUGAUGAAGGCCUUAGGGUUGUAAAGCUCUUUCACCGAUGAAGAUAAUGACGGUAGUCGGAGAAGAAGCCCCGGCUAACUUCGUGCCAGCAGCCGCAGUAAAAC